rnacentral:misc_RNA from 1 species
AAUGAUUCGCUUUCGGGAUUUCUUCGUAGAUCACCGGCAAUCCAUAAGCCGCGCGGUGCGCGGCGUAGUCGGCGGAUUGCUUGCGCAGCAACGGCAGUUCGCCGCUGCCCGCGACGAUGACGAGCGGCUUGUUCACGCCGCCGGGAUUGCGCAUCGGCGAAUUGCGCUGGAUCGUUGCGUCGUCGAGAUUGAGCUUGGCGUUC